ACCCUAUCAUGCACAGAGGACUGGUAAACUGUUGACUGUUCUUACUGAUCAAUUUUCAUGUGUUCCUUUCCAAGCAUGGUUUCCUGACAGGCCCUUGAAAAGGAAGUCUUCUCCUUCUUGCCCCUUCCCAUGACCUGGAAUGGGAAAAACUGAUCCCUCGGGGAAGGGCUAUGUAUAACCUGCCGAGAAAGUCUCAGGGAGUGUGGAAAUGACGUGAAUACAAAAAAGAGUCAGUGUUGGGCAUGGCUCUUGGACAAUGUGGGCAAUCCCGGCUCAUGGAGACAGAGCAUCUCGAGUUCAAGGGUAGUCUCAGCUCUACAAGUUUCAGGCCAGCCUGAGCUACAUGAGAACCUAUCUCAAAGGAACCAAAAAGGAGGCUACAGGGAUGGUGCAGUCUAUAAAACGUUAGCCUUGUAAGGCAGAAGACCAGUGUUCACUGCCCAGAACUUAUGUUUGGAAAAGAAAGGAAGAACUUUAAAAAGUUAGGUGUGUACAUGGGCUUGUAGUCCCGGCACUGAGGAGGUGAAGAUAGAUGGAUUCCUUGACGCUUUCUGCACAGCUAACCUAGCAGACUUGGUGAAGUCCAAUCCAGUGACAGGCCCAGUUUCAACCAGAAUGGAAGAGAAGGAGAAUGACUUACAAAUUUUGGCAAGAUCGCAAGUCAGGUGAGGAUACCAAAGAACCCCUUUGAGAAGGUCAUCUCCCACCCUACCCCACCCCACCCUCCAACCCUACCCCACUCAACCCUCACCCCACCCCCACCCUCUUGCCCACCCUUCUUACUCAGUGUUGGCUUUAUUAACAUUUGCUAUUCUAUUCAGUGGGUGCAACCAAGUCCUGAACUGAGAAAAAAACAAAAAACAAAAAAAACAAAAAAAAAACAUGUUUUUAUC